rnacentral:lncRNA from 1 species
AUGCACAUUUCUUCUAAGAGAGUAGUGAAUUGGGGAGGAAGAAGGAAAAUGUCCCAAGAUGAGCUUAUGGAUGUCCAUGACCAGAAAUUACCCACUGGGGAAGUGCUGAAGAAUGGCCUACUAGGAAGAGGUGGACACACGUUGUUCAAGAGGAGGUUGUCCCAGAUGAAGGAAGCACAGAACCUGGAAACAUUGAGGCUGACUUAUGAAGACUAAAAUGCUGACUUGGGAGAGAAUUAAGGAAGUGGCUAAGGUACCUUUGCUGAAGAGGUCACCCUAGAUGGAAGGGAUCAAAGCUAUGGGAGCAAGACCCUGAAGGCAUUUCUGAGGUCUUCUAUGCAACCCUUCUCAUCACAGACCAGAGCAGAAAUUUGAACCAAGGCUUCCAGGGAGGCCCCUGAAGAACUAAGGUGCAUUCUGUCCCCUGCUGGGCCUUACAACUUCAUUCUCUGUGGUCCAGUUUUCUUCCAGCAUCUGCUGGAGUUCAUAGAUACUGGAAAAAUCUUUUUGCUAUUUUCCCUGUUGAAUUUUAAUUCUUCCUGGACUGUUGUAUUUUGGAAGUUAGUAACUUCUUUUGACUUCACAGAGUCAC